CGUAGGCACAGUCGUAGGUUAUAGUGAUGGCCGAUACCGAGUACUCAGUAUUCGAUACCAGCGAUACCACAAACAGCGGUAUCGGUAUCGAUUACUGACGUGGUAUCGUUCGAUACUUGCACUCUUUUUUAAUUAAGUGACUUGUUAAAUUUCAUUUCUUGGUUGAAUAAGACUUUAUUACAAAAAAAAGUGUGAAUUUGGAAAAAAAGUGGUUAAUUGACAAAAAUUUUAGAAAAUUAUGGAAAAUUUUUUGUUUUUAGAAAAAAAAAUUUAGAUAAAUGGGGAAAAUUGCUGAUGUCCGGAAAAAUUUGGAUAUGUCCGAAAAAAAUUUUUAACCCCUAAAAUGGUACACUGACCGAAAUUUUUUUGGC